GCUGGGUGUGGUGGCGGGCACCUGUAAUCCCAGCUACUGGGGAGGCUGAGGCAGGAGAAUUGCUUGAACCCAGGAGGCGGAGGCUGCAGUGAGCCGAGAUUGUGUCACUGCACUCCAACCUGGGUGACAGAGCGAAACUCAGUCUCAA
rnacentral:SRP_RNA from 1 species